GGAGUGGUGUCCGAGUGGUCUAAGGAGCGCGACUGGAAAUCGCGUACUCGGCGAAAGCCGGGUCGUGGGUUCGAAUCCCACCCGCUCCGCCA
rnacentral:tRNA from 1 species